UACGUAGGGUGCAAGCGUUAAUCGGAAUUACUGGGCGUAAAGGGUGCGUAGGCGGCCUCUUAAGUCAGUGGUGAAAGCCCGCGGCUCAACCGCGGAACUGCCAUUGAUACUGGGAGGCUUGAGUACAGACGAGGUAGGCGGAAUUGAAGAUGUAGCGGUGAAAUGCUUAGAUAUCUUCAAGAACACCGAUUGCGUAGGCAGCUUACUAGGCUGUAACUGACGCUGAGGCACGAAAGCGUGGGGAGCGAACAGG
rnacentral:rRNA from 1 species